ensembl:lncRNA
AAAGAAUGGCAAUCCAGCCUGAGAUGAGUUUCCCCGCUGUGGUGCAUCUCUUGAAUUUUAAACACAAGCUGUGUUUCUUCAAUCCUCAAGUUUAGUAGAAGUGACUGGCCCCUGAUUCCGAAUGCAUAUGUAUCCAAAGGCAGUAGAAAUGUGUGUGUGACCAAGAGUCAAGUUCUGAGCUUCUAUAAGAGGGAUGAGUGACUAGAAGUGACAAUGAACUCUUCUUCACCAAGGUGCUUCACGGGGCUGCCUUCUGGGAACCUUCAGUAUACUACGUUAUUAGUCUCAAAAGGAAUUUCAACAAUUUUCUUCCUCUCUUCUGGAAUGUCAACAUGAUGUCUGGAAUGGCAACAGCCACCCUGAGACUAGGAGAUGACCUUGAGGAUGGAAAUCCCAUAUAAGGCAAAGGCGUGAAAAACAGAAGACACUCAAGGCACAGAAGACAUUGUGUAGAUACCUAUCAACUUUGGACAGCCUUCCUCAGGACUUCAUGAUAUACGACGGGAGAAAAAAAACCCCAAAACCACAAUGCUCUAUAUUACUUAUGCUACUGUUAUUUUAGCCCCAAAUAAUUCCUAACUGAUGUGGAAUUUGAGAUCAGUGGCAAAAUUUAGGGUGCUGGUGAAUAAACUAAUAGGUUUCAAAGGAAACUGGCUUCA